UACAGAGACCUCAAGCGUUAUCCGGAAUCAUUGGGCGUAAAGCGUACCGAUGGGUGGUUUUGAAAGUUUUGGGUAAAAGCCAGAAGCUCAACUUCUGAGUUUGCUCAAAAUACUGCAAAACUAGAGGGGCAAAGAGGAGACUGGAACGAACGGUGUAGUAGUGAAAUGCGUUGAUAUCGUUCGGAACACCGAAAGCGAAGGCAGGUCUCUGGGUGCCACCUGACACUGCUAGGACGAAAGCGUGGGGAGCGAAUGGG
rnacentral:rRNA from 1 species